rnacentral:rRNA from 1 species
AUUGAACGCUGGCGGCAUGCCUAACACAUGCGAGUCGAACGGCAGCGCGGGGAAACCUGGCGGCGAGUGGCGGACGGGUGAGUAAUAUGUAGGAAUAUGCCUUGAAGAGGGGGAUGACUUGGGGAAACUCCAGCUAAUACCACAUAAUCCCGAGAGGCGAAAGCGGGGGACCGUAAGGCCUGGCGCUUUAAGAUGAGCCUACAUCGGAUUAGCUUGUUGGUGAGGUAAAGGCUCCCCAAGGCGAUGAUCCGUAGCUGGUUUGAGAGAAUGACCAGCCACACUGGGACUGAGACACGGCCCAGACUCCUACGGGAGGCAGCAGUGGGGAAUAUUGGACAAUGGGCGCAAGCCUGAUCCAGCAAUGCCGCGUGUGUGAAGAAGGCCUUAGGGUUGUAAAGCACUUUCGGUGGGGAAGAAGGGUGUAUGGUUAAUAGUCAUAUACUUUGACGUGAACCACAAAAGAAGCACCGGCUAACUCUGUGCCAGCCGCCGCGGUAA